rnacentral:rRNA from 1 species
UGGGGAAUAUUGCACAAUGGGCGCAAGCCUGAUGCAGCCAUGCCGCGUGUGUGAAGAAGGCCUUUGGGUUGUAAAGCACUUUCAGCGGGGAGGAAGGCGGUGAGGUUAAUAACCUCAUCGAUUGACGUUACCCGCAGAAGAAGCACCGGCUAACUCCGUGCCAGCAGCCGCGGUAAUACGGAGGGUGCAAGCGUUAAUCGGAAUUACUGGGCGUAAAGCGCACGCAGGCGGUUUGUUAAGUCAGAUGUGAAAUCCCCGGGCUCAACCUGGGAACUGCAUCUGAUACUGGCAAGCUUGAGUCUCGUAGAGGGGGGUAGAAUUCCAGGUGUAGCGGUGAAAUGCGUAGAGAUCUGGAGGAAUACCGGUGGCGAAGGCGGCCCCCUGGACGAAGACUGACGCUCAGGUGCGAAAGCGUGGGGAGCAAACAGG